CUAAGGUUUCUUGCUGGAGGUACCUGUCUGUGUGAGGCCUUCUAAGGAACCAAAGCAGCGUCACACCAGAUGUUCUGAAGAAAGCAAUUCAAUUCCAGAUGAAACUGAGACAAAGGCCUACUGUUUUCAUUUUUACUGUGCAGGUAAACAGUUUUGCAUACAAAUCAGAGAUGAUGAUCUCUUGCUUCCAAGAAGAAAGUGACUGGCAAGAGACAGAAGGAAUGAGAACAAGAGCCGGAGAAGGGGAGCUCUAGAGGAGAAUGUGGAUGAACCCAGCAUCUUUGUAGCGGUAGAUGCUAGAUGCUUUCAGAAAAGCUUUGACUGUGGGACUCCAUGAAAUUAAUUUUGUUGGGAGACUUCACAGGAAUGCAGAAUUAGACUUGUCAUCUUGCUUCUCUAAGGUCAUAUAGAUGACUAAUAUCACACCUUAAAACACAUCAUUUUUAUUUUCUAAUUAAGAAAAAACACCUUGGUUAAUUGCUUAUUUUCAGGUAUAACAUAUAGUCAGUAACGCUAAUUGCUGCAUCUGUUUAUGUGAAGGUGACAUUAGUAACAGGAAGGUGUAGAAAUAAAAGAAAAAAUGAUAAAGGAAACUCAUACUAACAAUAAAAUCAAAUUGUAAUCUCAUUUCCUUGAGGGAAAAGAUCUUGCAUGGAAAGUGCAGGUACCAUCAAAACAACAACAACAACAACAAAAAUAUCAUUUAAUUGUUCUGUUUUCAUGAUUCUAAAACACUAUGAUGUGAAUAUAUACAUAUCUCUAUUUUCGUUAGGAAUAAUACUCAAUUAUACAUGCAAGGAUGCUUUGGACUGUACAGUUGAGCAUAUAUAAGCUUUUUAUAGAGCCCAUGAAUUAUUAGAAAGUCUUGUCACACCAUGUUGGAGUCUGCUGUAUCCAUAGAAAUGCUCCGUGUCCUGAUCAGAAGCAGCACAAUCUCAGUGUGAAAUAAAAGACAACAACUGUGAAUAAUAAUACGGCUGUGGUAGAAGCCCAGGCAUAAACAGCACAUAAAUGUAAAUCGGGGGUUGCAGUCUGUAGGUACAGACAAGGCAAUUGGGAAGCAAAGGCUUACUUUUUCAGCCUUAAAGACAGCCGUGAAAAGCACUGUGAUUUUAUUAAAAUUAGAAAUAUGUCUAUGUCUUUUUCCUUUUAAUCAUUCGCUUUUUAGUUCAGUCAUGUAAUGCCUUGUUCAUAUCUGUUCUCAGUUAUUAAAAGACUUCUAUCUGAAGAGGUUCUAAAAGCCCAAGGGUUUGCCUUAAAUACAUACUUAAUACUAAAUAAAAUUGAAGCAGAAUAUCUACAGUCCCUCAUUUUUGUACCUAAUAUGUACAAAGCACCACUUAGUAAAAGGAAGCUAGGGGCUGAAGGGCAAUUAUGGGUUCAAUUGCUCGUGUUACACUCAGUUUUACACUGGUAUCAACAGUAUUACAUUUGUCUGCUCUAUACCGUGUCAUAAAGACUUUUCAAAGUACUUGGAGAAAGCAUUUUCAUUGCUGUA